AUCACUCCAAACCCAAUGUGAACCAUACCAAACUGUUGCCUCGGCGGGGUCACGCCCCGGGUGCGUCGCAGCCCCGGAACCAGGCGCCCGCCGGAGGGACCAACCAAACUCUUUUCUGUAGUCCCCUCGCGGACGUUAUUUCUUACAGCUCUGAGCAAAAAUUCAAAAUGAAUCAAAACUUUCAACAACGGAUCUCUUGGUUCUGGCAUCGAUGAAGAACGCAGCGAAAUGCGAUAAGUAAUGUGAAUUGCAGAAUUCAGUGAAUCAUCGAAUCUUUGAACGCACAUUGCGCCCGCCAGUAUUCUGGCGGGCAUGCCUGUCCGAGCGUCAUUUCAACCCUCGAACCCCUCCGGGGGGUCGGCGUUGGGGACCUCGGGAGCCCCUAAGACGGGAUCCCGGCCCCGAAAUACAGUGGCGGUCUCGCCGCAGCCUCUCCUGCGCAGUAGUUUGCACAACUCGCACCGGGAGCGCGGCGCGUCCACGUCCGUAAAACACCCAACUUUCUGAAAUGUUGACCUCGGAUCAGGUAGGAAUACCCGCUGAACUUAAGCAUAUCAA
rnacentral:rRNA from 1 species